rnacentral:rRNA from 1 species
GAUGAACGCUGGCGGCGUGCCUAAUACAUGCAAGUCGAGCGAACGGACGAGAAGCUUGCUUUUCUGAUGUUAGCGGCGGACGGGUGAGUAACACGUGGAUAACCUACCUAUAAGACUGGGAUAACUUCGGGAAACCGGAGCUAAUACCGGAUAAUAUUUUGAACCGCAUGGUUCAAAAGUGAAAGACGGUCUUGCUGUCACUUAUAGAUGGAUCCGCGCUGCAUUAGCUAGUUGGUAAGGUAACGGCUUACCAAGGCAACGAUGCAUAGCCGACCUGAGAGGGUGAUCGGCCACACUGGAACUGAGACACGGUCCAGACUCCUACGGGAGGCAGCAGUAGGGAAUCUUCCGCAAUGGGCGAAAGCCUGACGGAGCAACGCCGCGUGAGUGAUGAAGGUCUUCGGAUCGUAAAACUCUGUUAUUAGGGAAGAACAUAUGUGUAAGUAACUGUGCACAUCUUGACGGUACCUAAUCAGAAAGCCACGGCUAACUACGUGCCAGCAGCCGCGGUAAUACGUAGGUGGCAAGCGUUAUCCGGAAUUAUUGGGCGUAAAGCGCGCGUAGGCGGUUUUUUAGUCUGAUGUGAAAGCCCACGGCUCAACCGUGGAGGGUCAUUGGAAACUGGAAAACUUGAGUGCAGAAGAGGAAAGUGGAAUUCCAUGUGUAGCGGUGAAAUGCGCAGAGAUAUGGAGGAACACCAGUGGCGAAGGCGACUUUCUGGUCUGUAACUGACGCUGAUGUGCGAAAGCGUGGGGAUCAAACAGGAUUAGAUACCCUGGUAGUCCACGCCGUAAACGAUGAGUGCUAAGUGUUAGGGGGUUUCCGCCCCUUAGUGCUGCAGCUAACGCAUUAAGCACUCCGCCUGGGGAGUACGACCGCAAGGUUGAAACUCAGAGGAAUUGACGGGGACCCGCACAAGCGGUGGAGCAUGUGGUUUAAUUCGAAGCAACGCGAAGAACCUUACCAAAUCUUGACAUCCUUUGACAACUCUAGAGAUAGAGCCUUCCCCUUCGGGGGACAAAGUGACAGGUGGUGCAUGGUUGUCGUCAGCUCGUGUCGUGAGAUGUUGGGUUAAGUCCCGCAACGAGCGCAACCCUUAAGCUUAGUUGCCAUCAUUAAGUUGGGCACUCUAAGUUGACUGCCGGUGACAAACCGGAGGAAGGUGGGGAUGACGUCAAAUCAUCAUGCCCCUUAUGAUUUGGGCUACACACGUGCUACAAUGGACAAUACAAAGGGCAGCGAAACCGCGAGGUCAAGCAAAUCCCAUAAAGUUGUUCUCAGUUCGGAUUGUAGUCUGCAACUCGACUACAUGAAGCUGGAAUCGCUAGUAAUCGUAGAUCAGCAUGCUACGGUGAAUACGUUCCCGGGUCU